rnacentral:rRNA from 1 species
CACGGGUGAGUAACGCGUAGACAAUCUGCCCUUCAGUCCGGGACAACUUUCCGAAAGGGGAGCUAAUACCGGAUAACAAUGUUUGACAUAAGUUGAAUAUUUGAAAGCUCCGGUGCUGAUGGAUGAGUCUGCGUCCCAUUAGCUUGUUGGUGCGGUAGUGGCGCACCAAGGCCGCGAUGGGUAGCGGGUUUGAGAGGACGAUCCGCCACACUGGAACUGAGACACGGUCCAGACUCCUACGGGAGGCAGCAGUGGGGAAUAUUGCACAAUGGAGGAAACUCUGAUGCAGCAAUGCCGCGUGAGUGAAGAAGGCCCUUGGGUCGAUGAAGCUCUUUUAUGGGGGAAGAUGAUGACGGUACCCCAAGAAUAAGCACCGGCUAACUACGUGCCAGCAGCCGCGGUAAUACGUAGGGUGCAAGCGUUGUUCGGAAUUACUGGGCGUAAAGGGCGCGCAUGCGGAGGUGCAAGUCGGAGGUGAAAGCCCGGGGCUCAACCCCGGAGGGUCUUUC